rnacentral:rRNA from 1 species
UACACGCUGUGACUAGCAUAUCAAUAAGCGGAGGAAAAGAAACUAACAAGGAUUCCCUUAGUAACGGCGAGUGAAGCGGGAAGAGCUCAAAUUUGAAAUCUUCAAGGUUUUACCUUGACGAAUUGUAGUUUAAAGAGGUGUUUUCUGCUGAAGUUUUGGUAAAAGUUCUUUGGAAUAGGACAUCAUAGAGGGUGAGAAUCCCGUAUUUGACCAUUAUUUUCAGCUUUGUGAUACACUUUCAAAGAGUCGGAUUGUUUGGGAAUGCAGUCCAAAAUGGGUGGUAAAUUUCAUCUAAAGCUAAAUAUUGGCGAGAGACCGAUAUGCGAACAAGUACCGUGAGGGAAAGAUGAAAAGAACUUUGAAAAGAGAGUUAAACAGUACGUGAAAUUGUCAAAAGGGAAGCGUUUGACACCAGUGUUGUUUUCUCGAAAAUCAAUUAAAAAUGGCUCGAUUUUGUAUUGCUUGAGACCUUAAAAGCUCACUGUACAUUUUUCGUGUCUUUUUUAAUGCACUUUUCGUUUAACAAGUCAACAUCAGUUUCUUUUGUUGUAAAAGGGUCAUUGGAAGGUGGCUUUCUUUUCGGAGAAAGUGUUUAUAGCCUUUGGCCUCUGCAAUCGAAGAGACUGAGGUCUGCAGCGUAGACUCUUCGGGGUUAGAUACAUUUGUGCUAAGUUAUAGCUUUUUAUAGACAACUUGUUGACUAUAAUUAGUCUUGUAGCUUACUCGCUUAUGCUAUUUUACCUACGCUUAGGAUGUUGAUCUACAGAGCGAGAGU